rnacentral:lncRNA from 1 species
AGCUGCAGCUCCAAUUCUGUCCCUAGUCUGGGAACUUGCAUAUGCUGCAGGUGCAGCUUACCCGCCCCCUGGAAAAAAAAAAAAAAAAAAAAAAAGCAAAAAAUAAAAAAUAAAACAUGACAGAGAAAAGCCCAAAUUGACUGAGUGAGGCACUUAAUGACUGCAUGAAUGAAGGGAUAUUUGAAUGGAUGAAUGAAUGACUCUGAAGAAUGUAAAUGAAAGGAGAAGACAGAAGAUGACACCUAGACAUUUAACAGCAUGGAAGUUCCAAAUCUGAGAUUGUUUAUGCCCCCUUCUUCAAAAUCCCACACCAGGGACCUGUGUUAUAGGUCUGUUUGAAAGAAUACAUGAGGAAAAUGAAAAUUCUUCUAAGACGUUAUGAGAACUUUCCAGAAUUUGAAGACCGCCACUCAAACCCUGCUCCUCCAGAUUGCAUUUCCUGUUGCCUCUACCACCCUCACAUAAAGGGACUGCCACUGAAAGUCAUCCAUUCCUCCCAACACUGGUGGCCAGGAUGUUUUUCCCAUUUUAUCGAUAAGGAGACAUUUUAGAUAAGAAGACCCUAAGUAAAUUUGUCCAAGCCCCCUCCACCACCUCCCCCCAGUUAAGUGGUGGAGUUUGCAUUUGCACCCAGACCUUUGCAAAGGCCAGGGUGGCCUUUUCUCCUCUCCCCAGACUGCUUUUCCUGAAGUCUGCUGUUUACCACAAUGGGCAGGGCUUUGAUUUAUCUGCAGCUAAAGGGAGGUAUGAGCCUGCCUGAUAGGUAUUACUGGGCUGGGAACAUUGCUUCAGAACACGUUGUUCUACGUGAAAUGGAAAAUGGGGGGAAAAAACCUGUAAACCAGAGAUUUCUACCAGGUUCUCAGCAUCUGACUUAGGAAAAUGUCCCUAUGCCUGUCACUUCCCACAGCCACCUGGGGUCACGGGGUGUUGGUCAGAGCAGGAAGCCAAUCCUUGUUCCACUGUUAACUCUCUUAUUCAUUUCUUCACUCCCAGGCUCACUUGCUCUCUGGCCAAACGUUGCCUCAGGCUACGGAGGUGGAGAAAUCACUUGUUCACUCAGCCACUCCCUCCCCAAUUCAUUCAUUCCAUAAAUUCUUCUUAAGCCCUGGAGGUGCACAAGGUCACUGGAACAGGCAAAUUCGGACAUACAUAAUUACGGUAGCACAUCCUAAGGACCUCCACAAAGUUACAUGGAGUUGGGAGCCGCUGGUCUAGCUCAGUGGAGAGGAAAAAGAAGUUACUAAGGAAGAGAAUUUGAAGUUAGUCUUAAGAAGGAGAGAGAGAGAUGUGGGUGCAGGGGGAGGAAAGCUGCCCAGCCUGUUAGGUUCAUCUUCUCUGUGCUAUCUCUCCCUUGGCCCUUGCCUAUACACAGCAAGGAUUUGGAGGCACAGGCUACAAAGCAAGGUAGUGAUGCCAGCAUAGAGCCUGCGGGGCUUCAUCACGCAAGGAUGGAGGCAGGCAGUCUGGCAGGAGGUCAUUCCAGUCAGGAGGUCCUGCAGGAGCACAGGGACAGACCCAGUGGUCUUGCCACAUAGGCAUGGGGGCACGCAGUCUCUCCAGGCAGGAGCGAUCUGCUCAGGACAGGAGCGAUUCAAAGGGGUCAAAGGGAAUUUCCUCUCCUGUUUUUGGUAAUUGAUAAAUGGCCUAUUAUGAAUCACCUGGAUCCAAGUCUCUAUCCUAUCCUACCUAACAAGCCCAGGCGUGGAGGUUUGGGAGAGGCUGGGGUAAUUGGGAUUCAUCAUCACCCUCAUGUGGGGGGCAGGAAAUGAGCCUGGAAAGACCUUCACUCAGGAAAACAGCCUUCAUGCCAGGCUCAGGAGGCUGAACACUAUCUCGUAAAUAGAGGCAAGCCAUCAGCAUUUUAGGAAUGAUGAUGUCCCCGAAGCGCUUAGUAGGAGCUCUUUCAAGGCACCUGCUUGGGACAGCCCCCUCCCUUCUCUGUCUCAUGUUUGCUCUGUCCAGAAUCCCUGCCCCCUGCCAGUCACAUGGCAGAGCACACUGGAGAGUACCAGCCAGGGCAAGGAUCUGGACCUCACCUCCGGUAGCUGCGGCAUCGGCCUUAAGCAUAGGCUAAAAGUGAGAGUGAGUUCUGUCUGCACUGCAGCUUUCAUGAGAACCAGCUUCCUAUCUUCAGUCUCAACCAUCCCAUUUGAGGUUUUCUCACUUGUGAGUUUUUUUUAAUCAAACAACUACUCCUCUCUUCCCGGCAUGCCCUAAAUCCUUCAGGUCCAUCCAAAGUUUUCCAAUCAGCCCAAAUGAUGUGACUGUGUCCUUUAAGCUCUCUUACCCUGUAGAAGUCACUUCCACCUGGAGAGAGUCAUCGGUAAUAACGAUUCAGAGUCUUGCUAGAAGUGCAAACACCAGGCACCAGCCUUACCACCUCUUAUUUCCUGGCCCUACAUAGCACCUGGCUUUUAGCGGCUCCAUAGCCAUUGUACUGUGACCUGAGCACACAUGAAGGUGCUGGUCAGGGCUGGGUUCCAGUCCUGACACUGGGGCUUCCUAAGUGUUAUUUAACACUAAGUCAUAUCACUUAACCUCCCUGGUGCUCAAGCAGCUUUGAUAGAUUAGAGAUUGUGGAGAUAAAGCUCCUAGCCCAAGUUCUAGGACACAGGAGGUGUUCUAGCAAUGGUGUCUACUAAUAAAUGUCCUUUCUUUCCCUUCUCUCCUUUUUGUCCCUUGCAGCAUAGGAGCUUAUGUUUUUCUGCUACAC